UCCAAUGAGAGUGUUACAGGACCAACAGGUU
rnacentral:piRNA from 1 species